rnacentral:rRNA from 1 species
GACGAACGCUGGCGGCGUGCUUAACACAUGCAAGUCGAACGGAAAGGCCCUGCUUUUGUGGGGUGCUCGAGUGGCGAACGGGUGAGUAACACGUGAGUAACCUGCCCUUGACUUUGGGAUAACUUCAGGAAACUGGGGCUAAUACCGGAUAGGAGCUCCUGCUGCAUGGUGGGGGUGGGAAAGUUUCGGCGGGUGGGGAUGGACGCGCGGCUUAUCAGCUUGUUGGUUGGGUAGUGGCUUACCAAGGCUUUGACGGGUAGCCGGCAUGAGAGGGUGACCGGCCACAUUGGGACUGAGAUACGGACCAGACUCCUACGGGAGGCAGCAGUGGGGAAUAUUGCACAAUGGGCGGAAGCCUGAUGCAGCAACGCCGCGUGUGGGAUGACGGCCUUCGGGUUGUAAACCGCUUUCGCCUGUGACGAAGCGUGAGUGACGGUAAUGGGUAAAGAAGCACCGGCUAACUACGUG